rnacentral:antisense_RNA from 1 species
AUCAAUGGCGGCUGCGUGCGGGACACCCUCGGGUGUGCCGGACCUCUGGUUCCGGUCGGCCAACCCGUGCGCAGUCGCCUCCCUC